GCAGUAGCUCAGUGGCAGAGCCGCCGCUUCGCAUGCGGGGAGACCUGGGUUCGAUUCCCAGCUGC
rnacentral:tRNA from 1 species